rnacentral:rRNA from 1 species
CCCUUAGAUGUCCGGGGCCGCACGCGCGCUACAAUGACAGUAUCAACAAGUAUUCCCACCUGGUCUGAAAAGAUUGGGAAAUCUUUGAAUUACUGUCUCCACAGGGAUUGAGGUUUGCAACUAUCCCUCAUGAACGAGGAAUUCCCAGUAGGCGCAAGUCAUCAGCUUGCGUCGAUUACGUCCCUGCCCUUUGUACACACCGCCCGUCGCUACUACCGAUUGAGUGGAUUAGUGAGGCCCUCGGAUUGUGGACUUUGUGACGUAAGUCACAUCGUUCGCGAAAAGUGGGUCAAACUUGUUCAUUUAGAGGAAGUAAAAGUCGUAACA